UAACAGGAUAAGUUAACCACAAUAUUUAAGCAUCAGAACUUGUGAAUUAAAUGACUGCGGUCAAGAAAACAAUCAGUUUUUUCUCAAAUUUUCAAAAGUUUUGACAAGGGGUAAAUGAUAAAAUCGAAGUUCUUUCAAAUCUACCUGUUUUCCGUCAAAAUCGAAGCUUGCACACAAAUAUAAAGAUAAUCGUUCACAAGAAUGUUCAGUCAGAAAAUGAACA